UGAACGGACAUUUUGCCACAAGAGUGUUUUAGCACUCUUUUCAGAAGUCUUUUAAUAUUGUUAUACCUUCCAGAGACUUUUUGCUGUUUCAUUAAUCAUGUAAAGUUUUUCGACACCCCUGGCAAAUGCGAUUGAAUCCCCACAGCCCUACUUUUAUCAUUCCAGUAAAAACUACCCGCGUACAGUUGGUAAAAUGUAUUCAAGAAACAAAAGUUGACAUACCACGUGUUCUCACAAAACACUACGUUGGCUUAAAUAGAUAUAAGGUAGAAGAUUUUAUAGGCGAAACGCAACAUCAACAGUAAGCCUGUCGUAAACGAGCUUCGAUAAAACAUUUCCUUGGUAGAGAACCUAGGUACGGUUUAUGUUGCAUGAUUUGUGAUUGUAUUCGCUGCUCGCAUGCCAUCGUAUUUAUGUCAUCAAACCAAACCAGUUAAUAGUAGAGCGUUCUCUAGAGCAGUAGCACUGCAUUCCGGUGGAACAACAGACGAACUGGAUAUCAAAGGGCUUAAUAAUCGGAUGAUAAUAAAAUACCAUCCAAAUCUUAUACUAAUUGGUAAAUCGUUGGAAGAACCCAUUAUGGGAAAACAUUUUCAAAUUUCCCAAAGGCCUCGACCACACGAGCUUCCGGUUUUCGAUACGUCGUUACUUUAUAUUCCAAUAUACUGUCAUUUAGUGAUUUAUCCACCUUCGGAAAUAAGACGACCGAAAACGCCAGAGCUGUUAAUUAGAGCACGAAUGGAAAAAGUUAUGGACACAUGGGGUGAUUGAUAAUAAGAAAGCUUUUCACCGAUAAAGUGCAGUUGAAGUGUAUCUCAAUAAAGGGUUUAUCUAUGCUACUUUCAUAGUGCGAUUAUAAUAUUCUAUAACAACGUGCUGUUUUACUAUGUGCUU